ensembl:lncRNA
UUUCACUGAUUGAGCGAGAACGAUGGGAGAUGUCUCAGCAGACAGCAUUACUAUCGAGAUGCUCAGAGAGGCACGUGGGACUGUGAGAUGCAGUCCUCUGGAUGUGAUCAACACACCAAUGAUCCCAUGGUCCCAAACCACACUUCCACUCAACAGCUCCUGCAACAUUCACAUCAAACUGGAAAACAUGCAGCGGACCGGUUCAUUUAAGAUAAGAGGUGUUGCAAACCAGUUUGCCCGGAGACUCAAAGGGGGCUAUUUUGUGACCAUUUCUGCUGGGAAUUAUGGAAAGUCUUUUGCAUAUGCAUGUAAGCAUUAUGGAUCCAAAGGCAAAGUGGUGAUGCCAGAAACCGCCCCCAUCUCCAGAUCUGUUCUGAUACAAAGUUUGGGAGUUGAGGUUGAAAGAGCGCCGACUCCUCGUCUCAUGGAUGUUGUUAACCGAAGUGUUCAAGAGCACAGCAUGACUUUCCUUCAUCCCUUUGAUGAUCCGGAUCUUAUCGCUGGACAUGCCAGGUUUAAGUAUAUGUCUGGGAUAGAUCACCCAAAGCAAGGAAACCCUGUCAUUAUUUACUCACCCUCAUGUCGUUCCAAUCCUGCAUGA